rnacentral:rRNA from 1 species
UACAGAGGGGGGCAAGCGUUAUUCGGAAUUAUUGGGCGUAAAGGGCGCGUAGGCGGCUUCGCAAGUGGAAGGUGAAAUCCCUCGGCUUUAACCGAGGAACUGCCCUCCAAACUGCGCUGCUUGAGGCCGGGAGGGGGGUAGCGGAAUUCCCCAGUGUAGCGGUGAAAUGCGUAGAUAUUGGGAGGAACACCAGUGGCGAAGGCGGCUACCUGGACCGGUUCUGACGCUGAUGCGCGAAAGCGUGGGUAGCAAACAGG